GACGAACGCUGGCGGCGUGCUUAACACAUGCAAGUCGAACGAAAAGGCCCUGCUUUUGUUGGUUGCUCGAGUGCCGAACGGGUGAGUAACACGUGUGUAUCCUCCCCUUGACUUUCUGAUAACUUCUGGAAACUGGGGCUCAUACCGGAUAUGAGCUCCUGCUGCAUGUUGUUGGUUGGAAAGUUUCGGCGGUUGUGGAUGGACUCGCUGCUUAUCAGCUUUUUGGUGUGGUAGUGGCUUACCAAGGCUUUGACGGGUAGCCGGCAUGAGAGGGUUAACGGCCACAUGGGGACUGAGAUACGGCCCAGAAUGCUACGGGAGGCAGCAGGGGGGAAUAUUGCACAAUGGGCGGAAGCGUGAUACAGAAACGCCGGGAGCGGGAUGAUGGGUUACGGGUGGUAAACAGCUGUGGCAGGUGACGAAGCGGGAGUGACGGUAAUGGGUAAAGAAGCAACGGCUAACUACGUG
rnacentral:rRNA from 1 species